AGAAGCAUUGGCGAGCUGGAAGGCGGGAGAAUGAGCACUAUAUACUCUGCUUAAUUGAAGCUUCCUAAGUUUCAUGUCUGCAUCAUCAUAGAAUGUCAGGAAAGCUGCAAUUGAAGGCCUGAUGUGAUAUUUGAAAGGAUCCCACAUCAUCUCCUGACAGCUCAACAAUUCAUAUUGAAUGGCAACUGGAAAUGCAUUUUGAGGAAACAUUCAAAGAGAAACAAGAUACUCUACAGAUCUCUGACCAUUUGCAUGGAAUAAAGUUCUUUGCUGCCCCUACUGAGCUGUACUCCAAAAGAAAAAAAUAAAAAUGAAUCAAUGAAUGCCACAGAAGAAACAGC